rnacentral:tRNA from 1 species
GGAUGUAUGGCUAAUAAGGCAUUGGUUUGCUACAUCGACAUACAAGAAUAUUGUCUCAUCUAUGGGUUCGAAUCCCAUUUCCUCCG